AUUAACAAAAUAAAUUAGAUAACCUCUCACGAAAGGUAGUGAGCUAAUCAGGUAUACGUAAACGUAUAGCUAUACAUAGCAUAGUAUAUAUAAAAUAUUUGGUUAGGGGUGAUAGGCUUUUCAAACUGUCUGAUAACUUGUUCCACAUGAAAAGUAUUUAGUACACAUACAUACUUAAAAAGUUAAGCUUUUAAGUUGAGAUUAAAUAUAUAUUCUUUCUUUGACAUAGUGUAGUAGCUUGUUGUUAAAAAAUUUAAUAUUAAUUAUUUAUUUUUAUCAUAAGUAAUGUGGUAAUAACAUUUAUAUAAAUUAGAUAAUGUUAAUAUUAGUAGUGAUAAUAAUUAUAUUUAAGGAACUCGGCAAAAUUAACGCUCAACUGUUUAUCAAAAACAUAGCUAUAUGUAUUAAUAUAUAGUUAUUUCUGCUCCAUGAAUGUUAAAUAGCCGCAGUACUCUGACUGUGCAAAGGUAGCAUAAUCAGUUGGCUUAUAAUUGAAGUCUGGUAUGAAUGAAAAUAUGGGUGGUAACUGUCUUUAAUAUAUUUUCUUAAACUUAUUAAACAAGUGAAAAUACUUGUGUUUAUAAAAAAGACGAGAAGACCCUAGAAACUUUAAAUGGUUUUUGUUGGGGCGACAUAAUUACAUAUAACUAAUUUUAUAAAACAUGACAUAGAUAGUAAGAAUAAGUUACUCUAGGGAUAACAGCAUAAUUUUAACAGUUUGUGACCUCGAUGUUGGACUAGGUAUUUUAUGCUUUAGACAAGCAUGAAAAAUGCUCUGUUCGAGCAGUUACACCUACAU
rnacentral:rRNA from 1 species